rnacentral:rRNA from 1 species
CCUACGGGAGGCAGCAGUGAGGAAUAUUGGUCAAUGGACGAGAGUCUGAACCAGCCAAGUAGCGUGAAGGAUGACUGCCCUAUGGGUUGUAAACUUCUUUUAUAUGGGAAUAAAAUGUUCCACGUGUGGGAUUUUGUAUGUACCAUAUGAAUAAGGAUCGGCUAACUCCGUGCCAGCAGCCGCGGUAAUACGGAGGAUCCGAGCGUUAUCCGGAUUUAUUGGGUUUAAAGGGAGCGUAGGUGGAUUGUUAAGUCAGUUGUGAAAGUUUGCGGCUCAACCGUAAAAUUGCAGUUGAAACUGGCAGUCUUGAGUACAGUAGAGGUGGGCGGAAUUCGUGGUGUAGCGGUGAAAUGCUUAGAUAUCACGAAGAACUCCGAUUGCGAAGGCAGUUCACUGGACUGCAACUGACACAGAGGCUCGAAAGUGUGGGUAUCAAACAGGAUUAGAUACCCCUGUAGUC